rnacentral:rRNA from 1 species
GAUGAACGCUGGCGGCGUGCCUAAUACAUGCAAGUCGAGCGAAUGGAUUAAGAGCUUGCUCUUAUGAAGUUAGCGGCGGACGGGUGAGUAACACGUGGGUAACCUGCCCAUAAGACUGGGAUAACUCCGGGAAACCGGGGCUAAUACCGGAUAACAUUUUGAACCGCAUGGUUCGAAAUUGAAAGGCGGCUUCGGCUGUCACUUAUGGACGGACCCGCGUCGCCUUAGCUAGUUGGUGAGGUAACGGCUCACCAAGGCAACGAUGCGUAGCCGACCAGAGAGGGUGAGCGGCCACACUGGGACUGAGACACGGCCCAGACUCCGACGGGGGGCAGCAGUAGGGAAUCUUCCGCAAUGGACGAAAGUCUGACGGCGCAACGCCGCGUAAGUGGUGAAGGCUUUCGGGUCGUAAAACUCUGUUGUUAGGGAAGAACAAGUGCUAGUUGAAUAAGCUGGCACCUUGACGGUACCUAACCAGAAAGCCACGGCUAACUACGUGCCAGCCGCCGCGGUAA